ACAAGCGGUGGAGCACGUGGUUUAAUUCGAUGCAAACCGAAGAACCUUACCAGGCCUUGACAUGCAGAGAACUUUCCAGAGAUGGAUUGGUGCCUUCGGGAACUCUGACACAGGUGCUGCAUGGCUGUCGUCAGCUCGUGUCGUGAGAUGUUGGGUUAAGUCCCGUAACGAGCGCAACCCCUAUUGCCAGUUGCUAACAGGAGAGCUGAGCACUCUGGCGAGACUGCCGCCGACAAGGCGGAGGAAGGUGGGGAUGACGUCAAGUCAUCAUGGCCUUUAUGCCCAGGGCUACACACGUGCUACAAUGGCCGGCACAGACGGCAGCUUAGUGGCGACACUUGGCAAAUCCUCUAAAGCCGGUCCCAGUUCGGAUUGCAGUCUGCAACUCGACUGCAUGAAGCCGGAAUCGCUAGUAAUCGCAGAUCAGCCAAGCUGCGGUGAAUACGUUCCCGGGCCUU
rnacentral:rRNA from 1 species